ensembl:lncRNA
GGAUCAGUGGGCUGUCUGUAUGGGAUCAGUGGGCUGUCUGUAUGGGAUCAGCAGACUGUCCCUAUGGGAUCAGUAGGCUGUCCAUAUGGGAUCAGAAGGCUGUCCGUGUGGGAUCAGUGGGCUGUCUGUAUGGGAUCAGCAGGCUGUUCCUAUGGGAUCAGCAGGAUCUCACUAUGGGAUCAGUGGGCUGUCUGUAUGGGAUCAGAAGGUUGUCCGUGUGGGAUCAGUGGGCUGUCUGUAUGGGAUCAGCAGGAUCUCACUAUGGGAUCAGUAGGAUCUCUCUAUGGGAUCAGCAGGAUCUCACUAUGGGAUCAGCAGGCUGUCCGUGUGGGAUCAGUGGGCUGUCUGUAUGGGAUGAGGCGGCUGUCCGUAUGGGAUCAGUGGGCUGUCUGUAUGGGAUCAGCAGGAUCUCACUAGGGGAUCAGUAGGCUGUCUGUAUGGGAUCAGAAGGUUGUCCGUGUGGGAUCAGUGGGCUGUCUGUAUGGGAUCAGCAGGAUCUCACUAUGGGAUCAGUAGGAUCUCUCUAUGGGAUCAGCAGGAUCUCACUAUGGGACCACCAGGCUGUCCGUAUGGGAUCAGUGGGCUGUCUGUAUGGGAUGAGGUGGCUGUCCAUAUGGAAUCAGUGUGCUGUCUGUAUGGGAUCAGUAGGAUCUCACUAUGGGAUCAGCAGGCUGUCCGUAUGGGAUCAGAAGGCUGUCUGUGUGGGAUCGGUGGGCUGUCUGUAUGGGAUCAGCAGGCUGUUCCUAUGGGAUCAGUAGGAUCUCUCUAUGGGAUCAGCAGGAUCUCACUAUGGGAUCAGUAGGAUCUCACUAUGGGACCACCAGGCUGUCCGUGUGGGAUCAGUGGGCUGUCUGUAUGGGAUGAGGUGGCUGUCCGUAUGGGAUCAGUGGGUUGUCUGUAUGGGAUCAGCAGGAUCUCACUAUGGGACCACCAGGCUGUCCGUGUGGGAUCAGUGGGCUGUCUGUAUGGGAUGAGGCGGCUGCCCGUAUGAUAUCAGUGGGCUGUCUGUAUGGGAUCAGCAGGAUCUCACUAUGGGAUCAGCAGGCUGUCCGUAUGGGAUCAGAAGGCUGCCCGUGUGGGAUCAGUGGGCUGUCUGUAUGGGAUCAGCAGGAUCUCACUAUGGGAUCAGUAGGAUCUCUCUAUGGGAUCAGCAGGCUGUCCGUAUGGGAUCAGAAGGCUGCCCGUGUGGGAUCAGUGGGCUGUCUGUAUGGGAUGAGGCGGCUGCCCAUAUGGGAUCAGUGGGCUGUCUGUAUGGGAUCAGCAGGCUGUUCCUAUGGGAUCAGCAGGAUCUCACUAUGGGAUCAGUGAGCUGUCUGUAUGGGAUCAGAAGGCUGUCCGUGUGGGAUCAGUGGGCUGUCUGUAUGGGAUCAGCAGGCUGUUCCUAUGGGAUCAGCAGGCUGUCCCUAUGGGAUCAGUAGGCUGUCCGUAUGGGAUCAGAAGGCUGUCCGUGUGGGAUCAGUGGGCUGUCUGUAUGGGAUGAGGCGGCUGCCUGUAUGGGAUCAGUGGGCUGUCUGUAUGGGAUCAGCAGGCUGUUCCUAUGGGAUAAGCAGGAUCUCUCUAUGGGAUCAGUAGGAUCUCACUAUGGGACCACCAGGCUGUCCGUGUGGGAUCAGUGGGCUGUCUGUAUGGGAUGAGGCGGCUGUCCAUAUGGAAUCAGUGGGCUGUCUGUAUGGGAUCAGUAGGAUCUCACUAUGGGACCACCAGGCAGUCCGUGUGGGAUCAGUGGGCUGUCUGUAUGGGAUGAGGCGGCUGUCCAUAUGGAAUCAGUGGGCUGUCUGUAUGGGAUCAGUAGGAUCUCACUAUGGGACCACCAGGCUGUCUGUGUGGGAUCAGAAGGCUGUCCCUAUGGGAUCAGUGGGCUGUCCGUAUGGGAUCAGAAGGCUGUCCGUGUGGGAUCAGUGGGCUGUCUGUAUGGGAUCAGCAGGCUGUUCCUAUGGGAUCAGUAGGAUCUCUCCAUGGGAUCAGCACACUGUCCAUAUGGGAUCAAUGGGCUGUCUGUAUGGGAUCAGCAGGCUGUCCGUAUGGGAUCAGCGGGCUGUCUGUAUGGGAUCAGUGGGCUGUCUGUAUGGGAUCAGCAGGAUCUCACUAUGGGACCAUCAGGCUGUCCGUGUGGGAUCAGCGGUGUGGUGCUGUGCGGUGCGG